rnacentral:rRNA from 1 species
UGGGGAAUAUUGCACAAUGGGCGCAAGCCUGAUGCAGCAACGCCGCGUGAGGGAUGACGGCCUUCGGGUUGUAAACCUCUUUUAGCAGGGAAGAAGCGAAAGUGACGGUACCUGCAGAAAAAGCACCGGCUAACUACGUGCCAGCAGCCGCGGUAAUACGUAGGGUGCAAGCGUUGUCCGGAAUUAUUGGGCGUAAAGAGCUCGUAGGCGGUCUGUCGCGCCUGCUGUGAAAUCCCGAGGCUCAACCUCGGGCCUGCAGUGGGUACGGGCAGACUAGAGUGCGGUAGGGGAGAAUGGAACUCCUGGUGUAGCGGUGGAAUGCGCAGAUAUCAGGAAGAACACCGAUGGCGAAGGCAGUUCUCUGGGCCGUAACUGACGCUGAGGAGCGAAAGCGUGGGGAGCGAACAGGAUUAGAUACCCUGGUAGUCCACGCCGUAAACGUUGGGCGCUAGAUGUGGGGCACCAUUCCACGGUUUCCGUGUCGCAGCUAACGCAUUAAGCGCCCCGCCUGGGGAGUACGGCCGCAAGGCUAAAACUU